CCUACGGGUGGCAGCAGUCGAGAAUCAUUCACAAUGGGGGAAACCCUGAUGGGGCGACGCCGCGUGGGGGAAUGAAGGUCUUCGGAUUGUAAACCCCUGUCAUGUGGGAGCAAAUUAAAAAGAUAGUACCACAAGAGGAAGAGACGGCUAACUCUGUGACAGCAGCCGCGGUAAUACAGAGGUCUCAAGCGUUGUUCGGAAUCACUGGGCGUAAAGCGUGCGUAGGCUGUUUCGUAAGUCGUGUGUGAAAGGCGCGGGCUCAACCCGCGGACGGCACAUGAUACUGCGAGACUAGAGUAAUGGAGGGGGAACCGGAAUUCUCGGUGUAGCCGUGAAAUGCGUAGAUAUCGAGAGGAACACUCGUGGCGAAGGCGGGUUCCUGGACAUUAACUGACGCUGAGGCACGAAGGCCAGGGGAGCGAAAAGGAUUAGAUACCCCUGUAGUC
rnacentral:rRNA from 1 species